CCCAUGCACCAGGAGACUGUGCCUGACUUGCCUGCCUGGCUGUCCCUGCUCUGUCCUGGGAAGGAGACUGCUGUGCAAAUAGAAUGAUUUGUGCCACUGGGGACCUAAAGGCUCUGCUCAAACCACCCUGAAAGGGUCAGACUCAGAGACAAAUAGUACAGCUUGGAUGUAGCCUGUGGUGAGUGGAGAGCCAGCAGGAGCAGGGAGACAAGCUCGCAGCAGAGUGCUGAGGUCCAUGGAGCGGGACAGGGCAAGCACAAAACCUGAGCUGAGAGCCUUCUGGAGAAGACCCUGUCGGCCCCCCAUCUCUUCCCAGUUGGCUGACUGAGUCCUGGAGGGAGCACCAGCAAAGAAUGCCCUUCCUCUGGUCAGAGUGGUAGGAUUUAGGGUUUGGCUUCUGGUGUGAUAUGCAGACACAUGUAGCGACUGCAUCAUUUUUGACCCUUGUAUUCUCUAGCACUUAGGAUGGUUUCUUAUAAAUACAUGAUAGAUUCGAUUAUUUGUAAAACUUACAGAUGUGGCUGAAGCCUAAUAUAUACCUGGCAUUAUUCUAGGUACUGGGACAAAAAUGGUCAGCAGAAACAUAGUACUUGGCCUCGUGGGUAAAUGUCUAUUAAACUAGAAUUCGAGCAAAUAGAUGUUAUUUCAAAAAGUUUAUUUUGAAAUAUAAUAACCCAAGUUUCACUUUUUAAAUAGGUGCGUAAACAUAUGGAGGGGCAAGCAGUUCUAAAACAAAAUAACCUAACAGGUUUACAAAUGAUCCUUCAGAGAUAUUGAUAUAUAAAUUGAUACUUUGGAAUGUACAUGAAUUUUUUCAAGUCACUAGGCUAAGUGACUUGCUUUGGAACCCUAAAUUGUUCAUUAGCAUGUGGGGGAGAUGCAUGUUUUGUAUGCAACACAACUUACUUGGAAUUGUACUCCUUGGUCUUUUUUUGACCUGACAAGGAAGCAUAAAGUGAAGAUUGAUAAUUACUUUGAACUGGAUUCUUUAAUAAUUAUUAUUCCUCUCUUAAUGUACUCAGGAUACUAUGCUUAGUCUUAAGAAUGAAAAAAAAAUCUUUCCUCCGCACUGCCGACAGAUCAGAAUCUUGAUCUGCAGUGUUCAGCCUGGAUGGGAGCAGGGGAAGUGCACUGCUGGGAAACGGGAUUGUCCAAACAGCUGGAAAUAGACUAGGUACUUGCAAGCACUCAUUCAUGCAUGGUGAAUCUAUCCAAAGUAUUCCUAUCCAUUUCUCACUUGAGUCCUGUUAUUUUGAAAAAUCCUAAGAGAUGAAUUUUCUAUAAUUAUAAUUACAAAAUGAACAAAAACCACCUCUUUUCAAAAGUCUUAUUCCCUCCUGAAGUGAGUUUAAUCAUGAAAAUGACUACAGUGCGUGGCAUUUCAUAUUUUCCAAAGAUUAGUCACACAUUUCAUUUUUAUAGCAACCCCUGAGCCUAGUAGUGUUAUCUUCAUUUUGUAGGUAACAGAACUGGCUGAAGAUAUUAGGUAAUUUGUCCAUUUUGACUAAGACGUAAUAAGAAAUUGGUCAGUAAUCAGAAAACAAGCAUAAAAACCACUUAUUUUUCUCCCACUUUCAGCAAAAUGUGAUACUUCUAGCUGUUUAGGGGAGAUGCUUGUAAUACGCAUGGCAUGACCUCUGUCCACAGUGACCCUUGUCUUGAGAUAAAUAAACCAUUGAUGUAAAAGACAUAGGUCAUUAUAUUAAAAGUGCAGAAUAAUAGAGGGCAAGUGACCGAUACAGUCUGAGGACCUAUGGAGUAGUGCCAUAGCUCGGAGAUGUGAAUGCUAUUAAUACUGGGGACAUUGCUUUCUUGGUGUGCAAGGGAGGUGUUGGGUGACUGACUACCUUUAAGUCACUAGAAGUUUAUCAUAAAAUAAUAGCACAGAAACCAGUAAACAACACUGAGUACUUCUGAGUCGUAGAAGGGUUUCACAGAGAAGCAGUGUGCUUCAUAAUUUCCAAUAUGAAAAUCCACCUAAACAUUUUCCAUAUGAAAAAUCCAUAUCAGUAUUUAUCAAUAAGUAUGAGAAAUUUUUAAACACAUAAGCUCUUAAGACAGCACCUUUCUCAGUCGAAGUUUUUAAGCCAAGGUAGAAAAAUGGACUCUCUUCCCAGAUCUUUCUCUCUUCUCUCAGGGUGCUUAGAAUAUAUUGCAAAAGAGUGCAUACUCCCUUCAAGGAGAACCUGGAAGAAAGAGAGAAUGCAAUGCCUCACUUCCAUGUAAUGUAAGGUGAUACGUUUUAAAGUAGAGGUUUUAUUUUACAAUAGACCUACAGCAUAUAUUCCCACAGGUUUAACCCUGACCUACACCGAAAGGAUCUGAGAUAUCUACUAAUUAGGUACUAAAGUUUUUGAAGAGAAAAAGAUUUAAAAAGAAAAAAAAAAGUUGCCUACAUCUUUCAAGCCCCAGGGCAGCUACCAUUUAUGCAGACAGUAAUGAGUUAUGCAGGCCAAGGCAUCUCAGCUUGUUCUUAGAGAAAUAAGGGAAGCUUGUUUUGCUAAAAUAAAUUUUUUUCCCCUUCAGAAUUUCUUUCAGCUUCUUCAGUUGAAAGAAAUCUCUAUAAAGAUUUAAACAUGUUUAAAUUUAGACACUCGAUAUGUGACUUUGUUUUUGUAGACAACAGUUUUAUAAACUGAUAUUGCUUAAAAUGUCUAUUAAUUGACUCAUUCUUCAGAUAUAUUGUCUAGAUCUGAGCUGAUAAGCCCCAGGGUAAAAAUUUGUACCAGUAAAGAGGAAUUUCUCUAAGCCAACCUUUGAAACAAUAUUUGCUUGAAUCCUAGAAAUAAAAUAUUUUGGAUGAUGUCAUUGGGUCAGCACUUUUUCAGUUUUUGAAAUUUUAAUGUUUUUAAUGAAAAAUGCUUUUAUGAUUACUCUUAAGAGCUUAUAAUAUUUAACUUUAUUUACAGCCACUAUGCUGUCAUUAAAAAUGCUGAUACCAUGUUAAGUGGAAGUAACAGGGAGCCUGGCUCCAAACUUCCCAUUGAGUUACAUGCAUCACUUAAUUUCACUCAGUUUUCUUCAUUCUUCAGAGAUGUUAAUAAAAGCCCUUCCCUAAAUCAUAAGAUUUGAAAGGCCAGAUGAGAUAGUACUUGUAAAAGAAUUCUCAAAGUGAUGAAGCAUCCAUAUAUAGGUGAUAUAAUUGUGAAACACUCAAUUUAGCUCUUUGUAUUAAUCAGAAUAUGAUACUAUUAAUGCAAUCAGUGAUACUUAGGUAUUUAUUUCAAACGAAAAAUAUAUUUAAGUGUUAUGGAGGUGCCGGGGAACAAGGUGGUAUAGUGCAAAAGACAUAGACUUGAUGUCAGGGAGAAUAUACUUGAAAUCCUUAUUAGGGAAAUGAUCUUGGACAAGCUCUUUAUCUUCUCCAAACCCCAGUUUCCCCAUCUGUAAAAUAGAAAUAGUGGUAUUUAUCUCAUUGGGAAUUUACAUAUUAAUGAGGUUCAGUGUUGGCCAUAGUUAGUACUGAUGACUUACAGGCUAGGUACUUUUAGGAAGGUGAUUAUUACAUGAGUACAGCAGUUAUUUAACCAAUGUUUGAUGAUGUUGUUUCUUUUUUUAAACUAUGUGAUCACCAUGAAGGUCUGAAUGAAUCUGCACUCCUCAGAAUGCCUGAAGUUACCAGACAGCGGCAGUAUUUAGUUUUUAAUUCUCUAAGAAAGAAUGAUUUUAAGGUUGAUGUACCUAGGUGUUAGCUAUGUUUCAAGGUUGUGGGUUUUUUUGUUUUGUUUUGUUUUUAGGGCCACACCUGCAGCUUAUGGAAGUUCCCAGGCUGGGGGUUGAAUUGGAGCUACAGCUGCUGGCCUACAUCACAGCCUCAGCAGCACAGGAUCCAAGCCGGAUCUGCGGCCUACAUCACAGCUCAGGGAAAUGCCAGAACCUUAACCUACCACUGAGCGAGGCCAGGGAUUGAACCCACGACCUCAUGGUUCCUAGUCGGAUUUGUUUCUGCCGCAUCAUGAUGGGAACUCCUGUUUCAAGAUUUAAAAAAAAUCAGAUAUUAAGCUUGACAAAGAGUAUAUGGAAUAAUGGCAAUAUUCUCCUCUAGAUGAACUAAAUAAUUUCCUUUGCCUUAUAUUAAUUUCUACACAGAAUACAUUUUUAGUUUCUAAGCAUUUUAGAAUAAGGGUUUUUAUGUAUUUACUUUUAUGCAGAUGAACAAAAUUAUAAGCUAUUUUUGGUAUAUUUGGUUUAUUUUGGUAUACUUGGUAUAAUAUGUACCAUCAUUAUAAUGGUGGUAGAAUUCUUAAGUAUUUUCAUUGUUUUUUAAUAUUUUGGGCUUUUAAAAAAAUUCUAUUUUUAUACUCCCUAUCUAUAUCUAAGAGUCAAAAAGAAUGUCUAUAUUCGAAACUGUACUUACAUUUUAGAAACAGCAAAACUUACGCAUUUUCUUGAAUGAUAGAAGGAGGCACUUGAGUCCUGGGAGUGUUUUAUUUUUAAAGAAGCUAACUAAAGUUCUAUAGUAGGUUUUAUGAGGCAUAAAAUAAAAAUUCAAUUCAAUUAAAAAAGUUUUUUAAGAAAAAGUUAUUUGGCUAUUGAGAGUGAGUUCUAAUGCACAAGUAUUCCCGUAGUAAUUUUGUAGGGUAGGUGAAUUUUUUAAAAAGAGAAUAUGGAAAAAUAAUCCUUUGAGAAAUCAUUUUAUACAUGCAUCCAAUAUGUCCAUACUAGAUAAUAAAAUAAAAUGAUAUAAGAGGUAAUAAAAAUAGCAAAUAUAAGCUAGAUAGGGUGUUCACUGAAAAUAGAGAAAAGUUUUAGCAUUUAUUUGAGAAUUAUUAUAACAACAGAGGGUUAAAAAUGAAAGGACUUCUCUUAAGUUGGUAAUAAAGAAUAUGAUACCAGAUUGACUUUUCCAGUGGCUUUUAGAGAUGGGUGUCAGAGAGUCAAUGAUUCAAGUCAACAGUGGAGAAUUUGCAUUUUUUUGGUACAUAGCUCUUUCUGAGAAAAGGCGAUAAGAUACUAUCAUGUUGAUACUCUAUGGUAUGAUCUCAUUCCACAGAGAUGCCUCUUGUAGAGAGUAAUUAUUUGUCACUAGAAAUAAGCAGCCCAAGAAGAGGCUUCUGGCUUAAGAGAGUUCUGUGAAUAGACUGUAUCUAAUGGUUUUAAUGGAAAUAAUGGCACCAUCAUCUUGCUGAUCAGAUUCAGGGUAAAUAUCCAGCUUUCAAAAAUUCAGGGGGCACAAGAAGUGUGUUUGGCUAGGUGGCUUGUUCACUUCACUCUUGGUCAAGCAGAAGGGGUUUACUUCCAGCUCUGACUCAGGAGAACCCGUGGGUAGAGAAAGAAAUGAAAAAGUGCAUGGAGAUCUAAGAGAGAAUUAGACUCUUUGCCUUUUCCUAUUUCUCCAUGCUUUUCUUGGUCAGUGUUAAUAUUAGGGGCAUUUUGCUAGAGAACAGAGAUCUUUUCACGUAGCAGACUCUUAAAAAUAUGUCUUGAAUGAAUAUUGCAUGAAAGCAGAUAAUGUGGAAGAACAGUCAGGACUCUGGAUUAUUUUAGUUCUGUUAAAGGGUAAAUUUUAAAAAUUCCCCCACCCUUUCUAUAGUGAAUUGCUGAUGCACUCAUAAAUUUGGCCAUAGAAUUUUGACACUUGGUAUUAAAAUAACAUCAGAUAGUAAAGAGGUAUCUAUGUUAAACUGAGAGGUAUCUAAGUUCAAGUUGAGAACCAUUAAAGGAGUCAAAUAACCUUUUUUAAAAAAAGAAAUGAAUUUUGUUUUAGUGACUAUGCCUAAUUUAGAAAAAUAACUAACACAGAAAGAGCAAAUGGUGCAUAUGUGCUUUCUUAAUCAUUUUAAUUGAGUUUCAAAAUAUUUUAAUUCACUAAUGAAAGGAGACAAGAUGAAAUACUGACAUUAUUUCGGUAGCUAUGAACAGCAGUUUUUCAAUAAAAUUAUUAGAGCAAACUUCAUUUUUAAAAUAGGGUAUUGUUAUAAAAUAAUCUUAGUCUUCCUAUGUCAAACUUGAAACUCAGGUUUGUUUUUAUAAAAAUUCAAGACCUUUAUAUUUUAAAAUUGCAUGAGGUGACUAAGUCGGGUAAAAGGUCUGUUAUUCAUGAUAGAAGGCUUGAGGAAACAAACCUUUUCAUCUAAGUCAUGCUGUAAAAAUAUUUUGAUAUAUGACCUGAUUCAUUUUUUUACCUCAAUUUUCAGAAAUUAAAGAAAUAACAGCAAAGAGAAAAGCUUUUUGAGUAU
rnacentral:lncRNA from 1 species